rnacentral:tRNA from 1 species
GGACCUAUAGUUUAACGGAUAGAAUAAAGGUCUUCUAAACCUUGGGUCUAGGUUCGAUUCCUAGUGGGUCCACCA